AUGUACCACUCGUACACGGCGGUUCCUCCGCGCCGUCCACCCCUGUGGGUCGCCGCUCUAAAGCUCUCAGCC
rnacentral:sRNA from 3 species